UGCAAUAAUAUGUCAAAUUUAAAGAGUUUCCCAAGAUUAUAAACAUACAAAUGUAAUAAAAAUUAUUGUUCGCGAAUAUUCAAUUUGGAAUGCGAUUUUGUUAAUAAAAAAAAUACUUAUAACUUAUGCAAAACCCAAGAGAGGCAUUUAUAUUUAUUUCUUUUGCGUUCAUUUUCAAAUUCGCCGUGCAUAUAUUUUUGUGCAUGGCGCUUGAGAGGGCAUCACGUGACUAAAAACGACCAACCAACGACCUCGCUUCGGCCAUCUUGGCAUCUUCAUCUUGGCGACCUUGCCUUGCCGUGGAUUGUUUUUAGUUGUUUGUAUUAUUUGUGCUUUUUAAGAAUAUUUUUUUAAUUCGGAUACUUUUAUAAUAGCUUUAUAGUAUUAUUAACAUAGUGCAUAAAAUGGCGUCCUGUUUUUAACGCAGUUGGAGUAGCAGAAACAAAUGUAGAUAAAAAAAUCUGCAGGAAUAACGUUUCAAUUAUGACAGAAGCUCAAAACAAAUGACUGUGAAUGAAAAGCCCUAUUAAAAGCUUUCCAGAAGAUCCUGCGAAGAAGACAUGAAGUAUAGAUCAGAUUUGUUAAUAGAGGAGUAUGUUCAAAACACUUUUUAGAAAAAGAUAUUGACAGAACUUCACUUUCAUCUGUUCGUUUGAGAGACUGUGCUGUUCCAAUAGCUUAUGUCACACAGAAUCAGCUGAGAGAAGUGGUCUACAAAAAACCAGAAAGGAAACGGAAUAUGUGGCUACGAAAAGCAAAAGAAAGGUUUACAAAGCAAAUGUGACACAUUUUUUUAUAAUAUUUAGGAAUGUCAGCAAAUUACAUUAAAAAAUGUAUGUAAAGAUUUUUUGCAAUAAAAAUGUUUAUAUUUA
rnacentral:lncRNA from 1 species